rnacentral:rRNA from 1 species
UACAGAGGCCUCAAGCGUUAGGCGGAAUCACUGGGCGUAAAGCGCACGUAGGCGGAUUGCUAAGUCAGGGGUGAAAUCCUGGAGCUCAACUCCAGAACUGCCUUUGAUACUGAGGAUCUUGAGUUCGGGAGAGGUGAGUGGAACUGCGAGUGUAGAGGUGAAAUUCGUAGAUAUUCGCAAGAACACCAGUGGCGAAGGCGGCUCACUGGCCCGAUACUGACGCUGAGGCACGAAAGCGUGGGGAGCAAACAGGG